GGCAGUGGUGGCUUAGUGGUAAAGGAUCUGGGUGACUGAUGGGAAAGUCCAGGGUUCAAGCCCCAGCACUGCCA